AUUUAACACGAUGAUGGCUGACGAAAAUACACCACACGUGCAAGCGAAAUUUUUCACCAAACAAUCCCAAUACUCCAUACCAGACACACCAUACUCUGUUCCAGCUGCGGUGGGAACCUCAGAGCUCAGUUCACUGAUCAACCAGAUCUUAAAAGGAAGUGAUGAUUCUGUGGACGCUGGCAUUGAGUUUGAUUUCCUGUUGGAUGGAGAGUUUUUGCGAGUACCGCUCGAUAAACACCUUGAAAACAGAGGCGUAUCCUCGGAAGAUAUAGUAGAGAUAGAAUUUGUUGAAAGACAACCAGCCCCCAAACCAGAGGAUUCUCUCCUGCAUGAUGACUGGGUCAGCUGUUUGCAGGGAUGCAAGGAAUGCAUUUUGUCUGGUAGCUAUGACAACACAGUAAGAAUAUGGACCACAACAGGAGCCCCACUCCUAACAAUUCCAGGUCAUUCUGCUCCAGUCAAGUGUGUCAAAUGGCUCAGUGGAGAUGGUGGACCAACUUGCAGAUUCAUCUCUGGGUCACACGACCAGACCAUAUUGAUCUGGGAGUGGCACAGGGAGGAGAAUUCAGUGGAGUGUGUCCAUGCAUGUCGAGGCCACGCGGGGAGUGUGGAUUGCAUUGCCAUUAAUGAGGAAAGAGAUAAAUUUGUCAGUGGUUCCUGGGACAAGAUGUUGAAACUCUGGUCUGCAGCUGCUGUGGCUGAGGGAGACCAAGAGGAACAGUUAGAGGCCCCGACCAAGAAACAGAAGAUCUCCAAGAAAGUCCAAACUCGAGUACCGGUUCUGACGCUGUCUGGUCACACAGAGGGAAUAUCUGCGGCCGAGUGGUUAAGUAGGUCAGAGGUCUGCACGGCAUCAUGGGAUCACACUCUGCGCCUAUGGGAUAUGGAGAAAGCAACGCAAACCUCACAAAUGGUGAUCUUGUACUUAGAAAUCUUAAUUAAUAAAAUCCGCUUUUUACAUCAUAUUUAGAAACAUCUUUUAUGAUGCCAGGUAUAUAUUUUAUUUAAUAAUCAUUUCAAUUUCUGUAAUUUUAGUGGCAUGAUUUUGUAUUUUAUAUACUUGCACAAUGUUCAUUGUGCAAUUUUACGGUACCAUAAUUUCUUAUUUUUUAUGCUUAUCUACUACUACAUGUACAAUCAAAUGUUAAACAGAGGCAUUUUUCAAAACUCAGUUUUAGUGUAAGUAAUGUGUCUAUCAUCAGCUAUUAAUGUGUCUAUAUCCUGUCUAUUACAGCAAGGCACCAAGGUGUUUCUAGAUAUGUCAUACUCCCUCCUCAAUAGACAAAUAGUCACAGCAUCAGCUGACCGUCAUCUCCGGUUGUGGGACCCAAGAACUACAGAUGGUGCUAUAGUGAAGUGUACCUAUACAUCACACAAUGGGUGGGUGUCCAGUGUAAGCUGGUCCCCUGUAAACCAGUACCUCUUCAUCUCUGGCUCAUAUGACACAGUUAUGAAAUUAUGGGACACAAGAAGUCCGAAAGCACCUUUGUACAACAUGAGUGGUCACGAAGAAAAAAUCCUGGCAGUUGAUUGGUCGAUUCCUAGCCUUCUUCUGUCAGGAGCGGCUGACAAUCACCUGAAGGUCUUCCAGUAUAACGAUGAAAAACAUGGGACGUGACAACAGCCAUAAAACUUAUAUUGACUUCAUAAAUUUUAUGUUAUGCUUAUACAUGUACUUGCUGAUUAAAAAGAUAUU
rnacentral:misc_RNA from 1 species